rnacentral:rRNA from 1 species
UACGGAGGGUGCAAGCGUUAUCCGGAUUCACUGGGUUUAAAGGGAGCGUAGGUGGGAUGGUAAGUCAGUGGUGAAAUCUCCGGGCUUAACUCGGAAACUGCCGUUGAUACUAUCAUUCUUGAAUAUUGUGGAGGUAAGCGGAAUAUGUCAUGUAGCGGUGAAAUGCUUAGAUAUGACAUAGAACACCAAUAGCGAAGGCAGCUUGCUACACAAUUAUUGACACUGAGGCUCGAAAAGCGUGGGGGAUCAAACAGG